rnacentral:tRNA from 1 species
GGAGGAGUGGCUGAGUGGUCGAAAGCGGCGGUCUUGAAAACCGUUGUUCCGAAAGGAACCGUGGGUUCGAAUCCUACCUCCUCCGCCA